AAUUUGACCUCGGAUCAGGUAGGAAUACCCGCUGAACUUAAGCAUAUCAAUAAGCGGAGGAAAAGAAACCAACAGGGAUUGCCCUAGUAACGGCGAGUGAAGCGGCAACAGCUCAAAUUUGAAAUCU
rnacentral:rRNA from 1 species